GAAGAAGAGAUUGAAACGACGUCGUGGCAUUUGAUAAAGUUAACUGACUGUGACGUUUGUUACUGUGAACUUUCCCGAUGGGAAGAGAAGAGAAAGUAGAAAUGGGAAAAGCAACAAAGGGAACUAGGAUUGGUCUGUGAGACGUGCAUCUGUCACCAACACUGUUGCAUUUUUUAUUCGCUACGUGCGUCUCUAGUGUAUUUCCUUUGUUUCGGAAAAUAAAUUUCCGCAAGUUGAACGACGAUCGGCACAGGUGGUACGUCCGGUUGAUAGGAGAUAUUGAUGUGGACUAGGAAUUCGCCAUUUUAUUUCCUUGAUUAUAUUAAAACUCGAAAUCAA
rnacentral:lncRNA from 1 species